rnacentral:rRNA from 1 species
UCCUACGGGAGGCAGCAGUAGGGAAUCUUCCGCAAUGGACGAAAGUCUGACGGAGCAACGCCGCGUGAGUGAUGAAGGUUUUCGGAUCGUAAAACUCUGUUGUUAGGGAAGAACAAGUUGGGUAGUAACUGACCCAACCUUGACGGUACCUAACCAGAAAGCCACGGCUAACUACGUGCCAGCAGCCGCGGUAAUACGUAGGUGGCAAGCGUUGUCCGGAAUUAUUGGGCGUAAAGCGCUCGCAGGCGGUCUUUUAAGUCUGAUGUGAAAGCCCACGGCUUAACCGUGGAGGGUCAUUGGAAACUGGAGGACUUGAGUACAGAAGAGGAGAGUGGAAUUCCACGUGUAGCGGUGAAAUGCGUAGAGAUGUGGAGGAACACCAGUGGCGAAGGCGACUCUCUGGUCUGUAACUGACGCUGAGGAGCGAAAGCGUGGGUAGCGAACAGGAUUAGAUACCCUGGUAGUCCACGCCGUAAACGAUGAGUGCUAGGUGUUAGGGGGUUUCCGCCCCUUAGUGCUGAAGUUAACGCAUUAAGCACCCCGCCUGGGGAGUACGGCCGCAAGGCUGAAACUCAAAGGAAUUGACGGA